AGCUUUAUAGUUUAACUAAAACAUAAAUUUUGUAAAUUUAAAUUAUAUAAAUUAAUAUCGAUAUAUUAAAGCUU
rnacentral:tRNA from 1 species